CUCACCGCCCGUCACAUCACUUGAAUCUGUUGCUCCCGAAGUCGCUGGCCGAACCCGCAAGGGGCGGAGGCGCCGAAGGAGUGGCCGGUGAGAGGGGUG
rnacentral:rRNA from 1 species